AUUCCAGCUCCAGUAGCGUAUAUUAAUGUUGUUGCAGUUAAAAAGCUCGUAGUUGGAUUUCUGACUUGACGCGCCUGGCCCGCCUUGCAUUUCGCGGGUGAGUGCCGGAGCGCGUCGGUCAUCCUUCUAGAGAACGGCGCUACCCUUCACUGGGUCGGCGUCGCAAUCUAGAUCUUUUACUUUGAAAAAAUUAGAGUGUUCAAGGCAGGCUCGCGCUGUGAAUACAUUAGCAUGGAAUAAUAAUCUAGGACUUUGUUCCUAUUUUGUUGGUUUCUAGGAAUUAAGUAAUGAUUGAUAGGGAUAGUUGGGGGUGCUAGUAUUCAGCGGCCAGAGGUGAAAUUCUUGGAUUCGCUGAAGACUGACUUAUGCGAAAGCAUUCACCAAGGAUGUCUUCAUUA
rnacentral:rRNA from 1 species